rnacentral:rRNA from 1 species
UGAGGAAUAUUGCACAAUGAGCGAAAGCUAGAUGCAGCAACGCCGCGUGGACGAUGAAGGCCUUCGGGUCGUAAAGUCCUUUUCAGGGGGAAGAGUGAGGACGGUACCCCUGGAAUAAGUCACGGCUAACUACGUGCCAGCAGCCGCGGUAAAACGUAGGUGGCGAGCGUUAUCCGGAUUCACUGGGCGUAAAGCGCCUGCAGGCGGUCUUGUAAGUGGGAUGUUAAAUCUCCCGGCUUAACUGGGAGGGGCCAUUCCAUACUGCGGGACUGGAGGGCAGAAGAGGGAAGCGGAAUUCCCGGUGUAGUGGUGAAAUGCGUAGAUAUCGGGAGGAACACCAGUGGCGAAGGCGGCUUCCUGGCCUGCUCCUGACGCUAAGAGGCGAAAGCUAGGGUAGCGAACGGG